rnacentral:rRNA from 1 species
AUUGAACGCUGGCGGCAGGCCUAACACAUGCAAGUCGAACGAGUGGCGGACGGGUGAGUAAUGUCUGGGAAACUGCCUGAUGGAGGGGGAUAAAUACUGGACACGGUAGCUAAUACCGCAUACCAUCAGAUGUGCCCAGAUGGGAUUAGCUUGUUGGUGGGGUAACGGCUAACAAAGGCGACGAUCCCUAGCUGUUCUUCGAGGAUGACCAGCCACACUUGAACUGAGACACGUUCCAGACUCCGACGGGAGGACGCAGUGGGUAAUAUUGCACAAUGGGCGCAAGCCUGAUGCAGCCAUGCCGUGUGUAUGAAGAAGUCCUUCGGGUUGUAAAGUACUUUCAGCGGGGAGGCGUUACCCGCAGAAGAAGCACCGGCUAACUCCGUGCCAGCAGCCGCGGUAAUUC